rnacentral:rRNA from 1 species
ACGUACACUCCUACGGGAGGCAGCAGUGGGGAAUAUUGCACAAUGGGCGCAAGCCUGAUGCAGCCAUGCCGCGUGUAUGAAGAAGGCCUUCGGGUUGUAAAGUACUUUCAGCGGGGAGGAAGGCAAUACGGUUAAUAACCGUGUUGAUUGACGUUACCCGCAGAAGAAGCACCGGCUAACUCCGUGCCAGCAGCCGCGGUAAUACGGAGGGUGCAAGCGUUAAUCGGAAUUACUGGGCGUAAAGCGCACGCAGGCGGUCUGUCAAGUCGGAUGUGAAAUCCCCGGGCUCAACCUGGGAACUGCAUUCGAAACUGGCGGGCUUGAGUCUUGUAGAGGGGGGUAGAAUUCCAGGUGUAGCGGUGAAAUGCGUAGAGAUCUGGAGGAAUACCGGUGGCGAAGGCGGCCCCCUGGACAAAGACUGACGCUCAGGUGCGAAAGCGUGGGGAGCAAACAGGAUUAGAAACCCCUGUAGUCCCA